CCUACGGGUGGCAGCAGUGGGCAAUAUUGCGCAAUGGGCGAAAGCCUGACGCAGCGACGCCGCGUGAGGGAUGAAGGUCUUCGGAUCGUAAACCUCUGUCAGCAGGGAAGAACGGUCACUGUGCUAAUCAGCAGUGAAUUGACGGUACCUGCAAAGGAAGCACCGGCUAACUCCGUGCCAGCAGCCGCGGUAAUACGGAGGGUGCGAGCGUUAAUCGGAAUUACUGGGCGUAAAGCGCUCGUAGGCGGUAUGUCAAGUCAAGGGUGAAAUCCCCGCGCUCAACGUGGGAACUGCCUUUGAAACUGGCAAACUGGAGUGUGUGAGAGGAGAGUGGAAUUCCGGGUGUAGGAGUGAAAUCCGUAGAUAUCUGGAGGAACAUCAGUGGCGAAGGCGACUAUCUGGAACAUAACUGACGCUGAGGAGCGAAAGCGUGGGUAGCAAACAGGAUUAGAUACCCUAGUAGUC
rnacentral:rRNA from 1 species